GGGAUGUCUGAACUGAGAGAAGUUCAGCGAACCCCUUGAUAGGGAUGGAUGAAGUCUUGGUGGCUUUUCUGUACACAUAUGGUUAAGGCAUUGCCACUUACUUCGGGGCAGCUAAUGGGUGGGGGGU